rnacentral:rRNA from 1 species
CUUCGGGUCACCGGCAGAAUGCUCAGUAACACGUCGUUAAUCUGCCCUUAGGUCAGGGAUAGCCUUGAGAAAUUGAGGGUAAUACCUGAUAAGAAAUAAGAUCUGGAAUGAUCUAUUUCUCAAACUCGUGCCUAAGGAUGAGACGGCGGCUGAUUAGAUUGAUGGUGAGGUAAAGGCUCACCAUGUCUAUGAUCAGUACGGGCCUUGAGAGAGGUAGCCCGGAGAAGGGCACUGAGAUACUGGUCCUAGCCCUACGGGGUGCAGCAGGCGCGAAACCUUUACAAUGCACGAAAGUGCGAUAAGGGGAUCCAGAGUGCUGUCGUUUAAACGAUGGCUUUUCUCAAAAGUAAAAAUUUUGAGGAAUAAGUGAUGGGAAAGACUGGUGCCAGCAGCCGCGGUAAUACCAGCGUCACUAGUGGCAAUCGUGUUUAUUGGGCCUAAAGCGUUCGUAGCCGGUUUAGUAAAUCUCUUGUGAAAUCGUUGUGCUCAACACAACGGCGUGCAGAAGACACUGCUAAACUAGGGACCGGGAGGAGUUAGGAGUAUUCAUAGGGGAGCGGUAAAAUGCUAUAAUCCUUUGAAGACUACCUGUGGCGAAGGCGCCUAACCAGAACGGAUCCGACGGUGAGGAACGAAAGCUAGGGGAUCAAACCGGAUUAGAUACCCGAGUAGUCCUAGCUGUAAACUCUGUGAGCUAGAUGUUGUAUAUCCUUGUGGUUAUGCAGUAUCGUAGCGAAGGCGUUAAGCUCACCGCCUGGGAAGUAUGGUCGCAAGACUGAAACUUAAAGGAAUUGGCGGGGGAGCACUACAAGAGGUGCGGCGUGCGGUUUAAUCUAACUCAACGCAGAGAAUCUCACCAUGGGCGAUGGCCGGAUGAAAGUCAGGCUAAAGGUCUUACUUGACCAGCCAAGAGGUGGUGCAUGGCCGCCGUCAGCUCGUGCCGUGAGGUGUCCUGUUAAGUCAGGUAACGAGCGAGACCUGCAUCCAUAAUUGCUAACGAGUCCUUUCGGAUGUUUGAGCACAUUAUGGAGACUGCCUUCGUAAGGAGGAGGAAGGUGCAGGCCACGGUAGGUCUGUAUGCCCCGAAUCUCAUGGGCUACACGCGCGCAACAAUGGUAAGGACAAUGGGCUACUACUCCGAAAGGAGACGUUAAUCCUCUAAACCUUAUCUUAGUCCAGAUUGAGGAUUGUAACUCAUCCUCAUGACGAUGGAAUCUCUAGUAA